AUUGAACGCUGGCGGCAGGCCUAACACAUGCAAGUCGAACGGUAACAGGAAACAGCUUGCUGUUUCGCUGACGAGUGGCGGACGGGUGAGUAAUGUCUGGGAAACUGCCUGAUGGAGGGGGAUAACUACUGGAAACGGUAGCUAAUACCGCAUAACGUCGCAAGACCAAAGAGGGGGACCUUUGGGCCUCUUGCCAUCGGAUGUGCCCAGAUGGGAUUAGCUAGUAGGUGGGGUAACGGCUCACCUAGGCGACGAUCCCUAGCGGGUCUGAGAGGAUGACCAGCCACACUGGAACUGAGACACGGUCCAGACUCCUACGGGAGGCAGCAGUGGGGAAUAUUGCACAAUGGGCGCAAGCCUGAUGCAGCCAUGCCGCGUGUAUGAAGAAGGCCUUCGGGUUGUAAAGUACUUUCAGCGGGGAGGAAGGGAGUAAAGUUAAUACCUUUGCUCAUUGACGUUACCCGCAGAAGAAGCACCGGCUAACUCCGU
rnacentral:rRNA from 1 species